GAUGAACGCUGGCGGUAUGCUUAACACAUGCAAGUCGAACGGACUCUUCGGAGUUAGUGGCGGACGGGUGAGUAACGCGUGAGAAUCUGGCUUUGGGUUCGGGACAACCACUGGAGACGGUGGCUAAUACCGGAUGUGCCGAGAGGUAAAAGAGAAAUUGCCUGAAGAUGAGCUCGCGUCUGAUUAGCUAGUUGGUGAGGUAAAGGCUCACCAAGGCAGCGAUCAGUAGCCGGUCUGAGAGGAUGACCAGCCACACUGGGACUGAGACACGGCCCAGACUCCUACGGGAGGCAGCAGUGGGGAAUUUUCCGCAAUGGGCGAAAGCCUGACGGAGCAAUACCGCGUGAGGGAAGAAGGCUCUUGGGUUGUAAACCUCUUUUCUUAGGGAAGAACAAAAUGACGGUACCUAAGGAAUCAGCAUCGGCUAACUCCGUG
rnacentral:rRNA from 1 species